CACAACCCCAUGCAGAUUUGAAAGGUAAGAAGUUCGUGUGUUGGAAGGAACUGCAGAUGCUAGUUUACACUGAUAGACACAAAAUGCUGGAGUAAUUCAGCAGGUCAAACAGCAUCUCCGGAGAGAAGGAAUGGGUGACGUUUUAGGUCGAGACCCUUCUUCACACUUAGUCAGGGGAGAGGGCGACACAGAGAUAUGGAAGGGUAAGGUGCAAUUUUAAUCCAGACCUCUAAUAGAAACAUAGAAACUAGGGUGCAGUAGUAGGCCAUUCAGCCCUUUGAGCUAGCACCACCAUUUUCAAUAUGAUCAUGGCUGAUCAUCCAAAAUCAAUACACCUUUCUGGCUUUUUCCCCAUAUCCCUUGAUUCUCUUAGCCCUAGGAGUUAAAUCUAACUCUCUGGAGAAGGCAAAUUUGUAACAUGUUGCAUUGGAAACACUCCAGAUGUUAAUUUUGCAACAGCUAUUGAUGUAUAUAUGUACAUGAGUGCAAUGAAGUCGAUGAUUGUAAAAGACCAGUUAAUGUGAACUAGUAUUUGCCAUGGUAAUAGUUCGUCUUCCAUUCAUGCCAACAAGCUCCUCCUGAGAUACUGACAAUACUUUUUGCAACUACAUUAAAAAAAACAUUUGAACAGGUACAUGAUUUAGAGGGGUAUGAGCCAAACAUAGGACUACCUUAGAUGUUCGGCAUGGGCAAGUUGGGCCGAAGGGCCUGUAACCUUUUCGAAUUACUCUUUGAACCAAACCUUUGAAAUGUCACCUAAUCAAAUGCUUUCUGAAAAUCUAUUUACAGUACAACCUCAGCACAUAUAACUUUUAAAGGAAGUCUAAUAGAUAAAACACAGUAUCACUUUUUACAAUACUCUGUCGACUUUGUUUCACUAUCUCAAGUUACACAAGGUUCGCGCAGGUGUCUUGUGAUAACAAGCUCAUGCUUUUUCUGCAGGAGAGAUAUUAAUGACUGAUGACUGAUGACUGAUUUCUGGUUCUUGAUUUCCAUUUCCCACUUUUGAUAAAUAAAGAAUUCUAAUUGAAUGGAUCUGUUCCCAAAUCUAGUGAUUGUAGCACCUACCCUCCAGACUGCACCAACCCUCCACAAUCACCUACCUUCUACACAGCCUUACUCCCAACACGGCUGCUCCAAACAGUUUAAUGUAAAAACGGAUGAUUGAUGGUUUGUGUGGAGAGCGUGAUGAAGUCAUGCCUCGAUAUUAAUCUACUACAACCAUUAAUUACCAGAUUCACUCAUACACCAUUUACGUCACACUAACAUGGACAUUCAGGAACCAUUUUAUGUCCGCUUGCAUCACAUCUCAAAUGGUGAUCAGAUCACAUCGAUUCACGGUUUUUCUAUUUGCAUUCUCAGUUCAUAAGUUUUGUUUAGAAUGCUAGGUGAAAGCAAAUACAGAGGCUUUAGUCUUGUCAUUUUAUAUUUAAAAUUACCCCAUCAUAACUACUGAUUACCUUUUAGAUUCGGUUAGCAUUGGUACCAUACAUUAAUUUCUAAAUAUUAUAACAUUGUCAUGCGUGGCUCCGCACUUGAAGAUGAUACAAAACCCCCAAUUGUAUUACCGUGUGCUCUAUGAAUAACAUAUAUAAUCAUUCGCCAUAAUCGUUCAACAUAACUUCGCCAGCAUUAUGAAUAACUAUUGUCAGUAAACUGCGCUCAGAUGAUAUGCAUUGUUUUUGGCUUACUCCAAAAGUCGAAACACCUGCCCCAAAGCAGAUGAAAACCCGAGCGGGCAAUGUGGAAAUGUAAACGCUUUCACAGCGGGCUCUUGUUAAACAAAAUCCCAAUUUUAAUAUACAUCGUGUCUCUUGUGUAACCUCGCUGCCACGUCUCUCCCUGAGAACAGCGGAGUUCCCGUAAAUGGCAGACAACACAACACACACAAAUCCCAGAAAUUACAAUACCCACCCGACCCAAGCCUGGUUAUUCUUCCCUGGACUGCUGCUUGGAUGGGCUGGAGGAACGGAGAGAUCGGUCAAACUAACCUUACAAUACGUUACGAUGUGAAUGGCGGUACUUGCAGCAGCAGGCGAGUUUGAACUAAUGGACUCGGGCUUAAAGAGGAGUGUCACUAGCGGAAAAGGCAUCGGCAGUAUUUACAAUUCCGAUGCGCAACGCUAACCGAUCGGAAAUGUACCAACUCACUUUCACAUUUGCAACGCGUUGGAUGUUGAUUGCGCGUCCCAGUGUCAGAUCGUGGUGCGAGGUUUGGAGGAAGUCCUCAGCAAGAAUUAAACAACGCUGGCCGGAGUUGGAACAUUUAGCUAUGUUUGGGAGACGAACCUGCAUCAUUCACCGAUCGAAGAAGCGACCGUCUGCAGCUGUAAAGGGAUUGCAGCAUUGGUGAUGGGACGAUGGGUCUUGUUUGGAGCUCCUCCCUGACACAGAACCUCACUGGACCGGCCACAACCCCCGGCGCUAGAUGAGAUGUACCGAGACUCCUUUCAGCAAACACAAUAAUCGAUUCCAACACCAGCGGCGAUAUCUGCAGAUUUAUUCUUCAGAGAUUACCACACCGGGAUUCCGCAUCAAUUCCGCGAAAACACAUUUUUACUUUCGGUCUUAAUGUGCGGAAACAAUGAACAGUCAUGCACGUAGUACGAGACCACAAACGAGAGCUGUACACACCAAAUGCAGCAAGCUGGCAUGCAAAUAUAGGUUUUUGACACUUUAAGUAACACUUGCUAUGCUAUGCCUCUCUCUCCACACCCCACCCCACCCCCAGUUUUCUGACUAGUGCCACUAUUCUGAGUGUCACCGAGUUGAGGAAAUCCCAUUUCACCCAGAGAGCUGUGAAUCUGUGGAAUUCUCUGCCACAGAAAGCAUUGGAGGCCAAUUCACUGGAUGUUUUCCAGAGAGAGUUAGAAGAAGGCUCUCGACCUGAAACAUCACCCAUUCCUUCCCUCCAGAGAUACUGCUUGUCCAACUGAGUUACUGCAGCUUUUUGUGUCUAACUUCUGAGAGUUAGAUUUAGCUCUUUGGGCUAACGCAAUCAAGGGAUAUGGGGAGAAAGCAGGAUCGGGAUACUGAUUUUGGAUGAUCAGCCAUGAUCAUAUUGAAUGGUGGUGCUGUCUCAAAGGGCCGACAGCUAUUGUUCUGCAGCUAUUUUCUAGGUUUCUAUAUCCUUUUGAUUAAUUUGUGUGGGAAGGAACUGCGGAAGCUGGUAAACACUGAAAAUGGACACAAAAUGCUGGAGUAACUCAGCGGGACAGGGAGCAUCUCUGGAGAGAAGGAAUGGGUGGUGUUUCAGGUCGAGACCCUUCUUCAGACUGAGUCAGGAGGGAGGAAGACACAGAGAUAAGGAAGGUUAUUGCCAUUUUGAACUUUAAAAACGUCGCAGCCACGCUACCACUUGCCGGCCGCGCCUGCGCAGUUGGGGAAGGGUUGCUUGACUCGCGUCACAACGGGGAUUUCAGGCGUCACAAUGGGAACCCUUCAGCUGCAUUGCGCAGUUUGGUGGAAUAAUGCCUUGGGGGAACAGGGCCCAACGGAUCCCACUUGGUCUAGUGUGAAAUAAAUCUAUUGCCAUUGAAACACUAAAUUUGUCUGUUUUCAGCAAAUCGCAUUCAUUUCCAUUUAUCUUGCAGUAGCAUUGCAGGACGAGGUGCUAUAAUCUAAUACAUGACAGUAAAGGGUGCAACCGCAUCAAAUACAUCAGGAAACUUUGUUUACAACACCAACUACAUUUCAGUUAAUUGCCAUUGUAUGAAUAAUAUCGACUGCUUUGGAAACACUGAAUUAGCUUUUUUUGCAGCAAGCAGUAUUCAUUCCCAUUCGUCUUGAAAUAACCUUUCAAGGCAAGGCGCUACAAUUAGGUAAACACUUCCAAUCGAUGCAGCAUUGUGAAAUACAUCAGAAAAGUUAGAUUGCAACGUGUAUUACUAACUCGUUUUUAGUUAGUUGCAGUUGUGUGAAAUAUAAUCCUUGAAACACUAAAUUAGACUGUUUGCAACAAUUGAUUUGAUUUCCAUUCAUCUUGCAGUAAGGUAUCAGGGCAAGGUGCUACAAUUGGAUAAAUGACUCCAAUCGAUAUUAAGUGUCAUGAAAUACUUCAGAACAGGGCCUAUGAGAGGGGGGUGCAUCGUACCCGGGUCCAAAAGGGGGGCUGGGAGCUAAAGGAGGGGGGCCAGGAAUUUCCUGAAAUCUCAGAAAAUGUUUGCAUAUAUUUUGUGAAGACUAGCAUUCACAUUUUGUGUGAGCCUACAUAGUUUUAUAUGUCGUAAUUCGUAGAAAUUGUUAUCCAUAUAGCGGGGAAUGUUAAUUAGCGGGUUAAUUAGAGGUUGAGGUAACCUGAUUGGCGUUCCACCCGGGAAGAUGAUGAGAGUGAUCAGCAGCAGCGGUUUCAUUGGUUCGGGCCUGGGUUGGGGUGUGUGUGGGUGUAUUCUUAAGCUAGCACAAUCAUUUGGAAACAGGUUCAGACUUGGUGACCUUUUUCCAAAUGUUUCUGUUAGCUUAAGAAUACUAUUACCAAUUCCAGCAACAGUAGCUUCUGCAGAGAGGUCAUUUAGCAAACUCAAGCUAACUAAGAACGAUUUAAGGUCUACAAUGUCUCAGGAACGUCUUGUGGAUUUGGCCAGGCUAAGUAUUGAAUUGCACAUUGCCAGAACCAUAAAUGUUCACCAGGAAAACGCUAUAUUUAAAGUAAAUACUAAGCCUAUCUACCUUCUUUUACUUUUUACUAAUAAGUAUGUCUUCUGAUGAUCUGAUCUGCAUUUAAAUAUAAAAGGAUGUUUCAAAGUGAAUUAUUUCUCAUCUGUAUUGCAGCAUAAACAAAGAUGUUCAAAUCAAAUGUGCUUUCUCCUCUCUGAUCCUUUUAUUUUAUUUAUUUUUAUUUAUAUUUAUCAUGGGCGGAACAUAGGAGCAUAAGGCCCCAAAUCAACAGAGAGCUCCAUUCCACUCCUCAUCUUCCAUACCUCUUUUUUGCCUAAAAGCCCUGUCCCACGGUACAAGUUCAUUCCAAGAGCUCUCCCGAGUUUGCCCUGAUUCGAACUCGGAGAUUUACGGUAAUGGCCACUCGUCGGUACUUGGGGCUCUCGUGGACGGAACGAGGAGGAUGAGGAUGUUGAGGGAAACAGUGUCAGCAGAGGUGAGGAGGUCGUUGAGGACUUUGAGGAGAGCAAUUUCUGUGCUAUGGAGGGGGCGAAAGCCAGAUAGGAGGGGUUCAAGUAGGUUAUACGCAAGGAGGUGCGAAUGAAGUUGCGACGCAACGAUACCUGCAGGGUUUUUGAAAGAAAGGGGAGGUUUGAGAUUGGGCGGUAGUUAAUGAGAGAGGAGGGAUCAAGACCAGGUUUCUUUAAGAUUGGCGUAACAGCAGCAGUUUUGAAAGCGGAGGGGACAAUUCCUUGGGACAAUGAGGAGUUGAAGAGAUUAGUGAGGUAGGGGCAGAGAACGGGGAGGCAGGACUUCAACAGGGGAGUGGGGAGAGGGUCGAGGGAGCAGGUAGUGGGUUUGGAAGAGCUGAUGAGUUUGGAGAUUUCAGUAGGGGUGACCAGGUCAAACUGGGAGAGGAAGCAGUGUGGAGGAGGGGUAAGGAGGUCAGUGGAGAUGUUGAAAGGAGGGGCCUUGGUAGGUGGUGGAGUAGAUGUUGGGGAGUCGGGUACAAGGGAUAAAGAUUGAUAGAUGGUGCUGAUUUUAUCAGCGAAAAAGUGUAGGAAUGAGUUGCAGAGAUCCGGAGUAUAGGUAGGGAGAGUGUUGGCUCGAGGUUUGAGGAGGUUGCCCACUGUGGAGAAGAGGGUUCUGUGGUUUAGGCAGGGAUCGGUGAAUAUUAGAUUAGAUUAGAUUAGAUUAGAUUAGAUUAGAUUUGUUUAUUGUCAUUCAGACCAUUCGGUCUGAACGAAAUUCUGUUUCCCUGCAGUCAUACAUAUAAUUUAAAAAAAAAUGACAAAACACAUAGUCAACACAAAUUUAACAUCCACCACAGUGAGUUCACCAAACACCUCCUCACUGUGGUGGAAGGCAAAAUCUUAAAGUCUCUGGCUCUUGCCUCUUUGUUCUCCCUCUGCGCCGAGGCGACGGUUCGAACUCCGCGGGUGGUCGCUGCCUCGCCACAGCUCAGAGGCCGAGUCAGGUCUCCG